AGGUUAGACGUGCUGGCACCUAUUGAAGUCCAGUACUACAGUAAAUAAGGAAUUGUAUG
rnacentral:sRNA from 1 species